GCACGCACGCACGCACGCACACACACACACACACACACUCACCAGCCUUCCUUCCUCCUUCUCGGACCUCAUGUCCUCCUCGGCACAAGCUCCGUUUGACUCCACUGUCAGUCCUGGUGUGAGCUCUCAUAGCAGGUGGAAAAAAAAAGUGGAGUCGCACUGAUACAGCCGAACACACAGGAUUCAAAUAUCACCCAACACCACCGUAGCCCGCUGCUCCGAGCUUAGCUCACGUGGCUCCACCCAAACAGGUAACUAGGAAGCGGUCCCAAGGGAGCCGCUCAGGAACACCGUCCCCUCUUCUCCUCCUUUUUUUUCACCUCUUAUAAAUGCGACACUCUUCCCUCCUUCUUUCUGUGCUACCUGAUCUCGACACACCCAGAGGACAACUUUCACCCACUCCUGCUUCGUCUACCCCUUAGUGUUGACAAGAAGGACGAGGGGGAGGGGAAGCCAAAGUGCACUUGUGGCCUCAGGAAACCUGGAGGUUAUCUCGUGUCCUAACAGGCCUGAGAAGGAGACAGGAAUGAGGGGAGGAGAGCCGCUGGGAGGGAGGAUGCACAAAAUCCAGGGGGAUGAUUCACCACCAGUCGGCUCUUUGUGAAGGUCUUUUAGGAAUUAAUCAGAGAGAAGAGGAGGUGAAAAAGGAGAGUGGGGGAUGACAAGCAACGAUGGACAGCAGGAGAGGAAGGGAAAUGAGUUUCUCAGGUCACAAGUGUCGCUGCUCAUUGUUGAUGGAAACUACAAGAGGCUUGUCUGACCGUUCUUUAGCACCUUGUCUGUCUGACUCAAGGGGCCAAAAUAAAUCAAGAUGGAAUUAUGAAAACAGAUCAGACUCUCGGGGUUGAUGUCAGCAGGAGAACAAUAAACGGCUGAAGCGGGAAACUGACUUACAGAUGAAUCAGUACUACAAACAGAGUCAACAGACUCCACGAUCAAUACCUUUUGUCAUAUGAAUGCGUGCUCUGUAGGGUGAACACUGCACUGGAAGAAAAAUGAAGACGCCAUCUUCCUGAGGAGCUGGAGGCAAACACCUUAUUCCUCAUACGGAUGGCGGCGAUUGUGGAAGAUAAGCGAUCUUGUUGCAAAGCCAUAAUUGCACAUUACAAUGCAACUCAAAAGUCAGCCAUUUCAGUAAACUCAAAAGCAAUUGGCAGAGAGGAUUUCUUUUCUGCAGAGGCCUCAUAAUCAAUAUGACACCGUGAAUUGGGUGACAGAAGGAAUAAGGCUCUGGGCUGAGAUAAACGAGGCCUGCAGUGAGAACUGAGGGCCCUCGUGGCCCGACACUGAGUGUUGUUAUCUGAUUGUUCUCGCCCGCAUGGGCCUUUGCUCCGCCGUUCACCCACAAGUCAACCUGACAGCUCAGUGUCCUUUUAACUGCCAGGAUAAAUCACAGCACUCACUUCCUGCUGUUGCCAAGGCAACGCCAUGCAAUUUUGAGCAACACUGUACCUUUGCC